UUUGGUCCCAAAUGGGAUAAGAACCCAAAACCAUUGCUUUGAAGCAAUGAAUGGCUUGUAUAAAGUUAUUUUGGGUUAGAAUAUGUUAUAAUACAAUGAAUUUGAUUUAUUACAAGUGCUUGAGAUACAUGAAGAAUGUUUAGAAGUGAGAAGAAAGACUUGUUGAUAUUUGGUCCCAAAUGGGAUAAGAACCCAACACCAUUGCUUUGAGGCAGUGAAUGGCUUGUAUAAAGUUAUUUUGGGUUCGAAUAUGUUAUAAUACAAUGAAUUUGAUUGAUUACAAGUGCUAGAGAUGCAUGAAGAAUGUUUAAAAGCGAGAAGAAAGACUUGUUGAUAUUUGGUCCCAAAU
rnacentral:lncRNA from 1 species